rnacentral:rRNA from 1 species
UGGGGAAUCUUGCGCAAUGGGCGAAAGCCUGACGCAGCGACGCCGCGUGGGUGAUGAAGGCCUUCGGGUCGUAAAGCCCUGUCAAGAGGGACGAAUCCUCGUCGACCUAACACGUCGGCGACCUGACGGUACCUCUGAAGGAAGCACCGGCUAACUCCGUGCCAGCAGCCGCGGUAAUACGGAGGGUGCGAGCGUUGUUCGGAAUUACUGGGCGUAAAGCGCGUGUAGGCGGCCUCCUCAGUCUGGUGUGAAAGCCCGGGGCUCACCCCCGGAAGUGCAUUGGAUACUGGGAGGCUGGAGUACCGGAGAGGAGGGUGGAAUUCCUGGUGUAGCGGUGAAAUGCGUAGAUAUCAGGAGGAACACCGGUGGCGAAGGCGGCCCUCUGGACGGAUACUGACGCUGAGACGCGAAAGCGUGGGGAGCAAACA